ACGAACGCUGGCGGCGUGCCUCAUCCCUGCCAGUCGAACGCUUCUUUCCUCCCGAGUGCUUGCACUCAAUUGGAAAGAGGAGUGGCGGACGGGUGAGUAACACGUGGGUAACCUACCCAUCAGAGGGGGAUAACACUUGGAAACAGGUGCUAAUACCGCAUAACAGUUUAUGCCGCAUGGCAUAAGAGUGAAAGGCGCUUUCGGGUGUCGCUGAUGGAUGGACCCGCGGUGCAUUAGCUAGUUGGUGAGGUAACGGCUCACCAAGGCCACGAUGCAUAGCCGACCUGAGAGGGUGAUCGGCCACACUGGGACUGAGACACGGCCCAGACUCCUACGGGAGGCAGCAGUAGGGAAUCUUCGGCAAUGGACGAAAGUCUGACCGAGCAACGCCGCGUGAGUGAAGAAGGUUUUCGGAUCGUAAAACUCUGUUGUUAGAGAAGAACAAGGACGUUAGUAACUGAACGUCCCCUGACGGUAUCUAACCAGAAAGCCACGGCUAACUACGUG
rnacentral:rRNA from 1 species